AGCUCCAAUAGCGUAUAUUAAAGUUGCUGCAGUUAAAAAGCUCGUAGUUGGAUUUGUGGCGCGGCCGUCCGGCGGGGGUCCUUCUAUGGUCUCGUUUGUCCUGGUUUUCGGCCGCUCCUUUCUCGGGUAGAGCGUAAUGGCUGGCAUUAGGUUGUCGGCCGCUUCGCGCCCGUCGUUUACUGUGAAAAAAUUAGAGUGUUCAAAGCAGGCUUAGGCCGUUGGAUAUAUUAGCAUGGAAUAAUGAGAUAAGGCCGCGGUGGUCUUUUCUGUUGGUUUGCCACACGCCGCAAUGGUAAAAAGGAACAGUUGGGGGUAUUCGUAUUCAACUGUCAGAGGUGAAAUUCUUGGAUUUGUGGAAGACGAACUACUGCGAAAGCAUUUACCAAGGAUGUUUUCAUUA
rnacentral:rRNA from 1 species